rfam:Myotis brandtii contig235785, whole genome shotgun sequence.
CAUGCACCAGUGGGGUCCCUCAGCCUGGCCUGUGGGAUUGGGCUGAAACCGGCUCUUCAACAUCCCCCAAGGGAUCCAGGAUUGCAAGAGGGCACAGGCCAGGCUGAGGGACCCCACUGGUGCACG